GGAAGCUGUUGCUAAUGGGUGGGAUCAGCAUGUUCUUGUUAUCAACAAAAUAACUCCCCAAAAUUGGAAGGUUUGGUUUUUCUUUUCCUUUUCUUUGCCCCUCCCACAGUCCCACNUUUGCUCCUCCCCCAGUCCCACCACCCCCACCCCCACCCCCACCUAGAAUUCUAUCACUUGUGUGUUGUUUUUGAUGCUAAGGUUGUGAUAUGUGAACUUCAGUGGUCACGUCUAUGGUCACCAUGUCGGCCUCUUAUGAUUAAAGUGCGGUAAAAUGCAAGCAGUUGUUUUGUCCUGUGUUCCUUUACUGCCCUGUGAGGUUCUACAUCUUAAGAUUAGUGUCAUUUAUUUUAAUUUAUUUUGUUAUUUUUUUUAACAUCUCUCAGUUGUUUUGUCUGUAUCACGCGCUUAGCCACGGUUAGUUUUAGAGAUAUUAUUCUAGC
rnacentral:lncRNA from 1 species